GACGAACGCUGGCGGCGUGCCUAAUACAUGCAAGUCGAACGCAGUGGGGACGGGUGCGUAACACGUGGGUAACCUCCCAUCAGAGGGGAUAACACUUGGAAACAGGUGCUAAACCGAUACUGAUGGAUGGACUCGCGGUGCAUUAGCCAGUUGGUGAGGUAACGGCUCACCAAGGCUACGAUGCAUAGCCGGCCUGAGAGGAUGACCGGCCACACUGGAACUGAGACACGGCCCAGACGCCUACGGGAGGCAGCAGUAGGGAAUAUUCGACAAUGGGCGAAAGUCUGACCGAGCAACGCCGCGUGAGUGAAGAAGGUUUUCGGAUCGUAAAGCACUGUUGUUAGAGAAGCGGUAUCUAACCAGAAAGCCACGGCUAACUACGUGCCAGCCGCCGCGGUAAUAC
rnacentral:rRNA from 1 species